GUGGGUAUAGCUCAGUGGUAGAGUGCAUGCUUAGGAUGUACAAGUCUUGGGUUCAAUCCCCAAUACCUCCA
rnacentral:tRNA from 1 species